UCAAGUUAUUAAGGGUGCAGGGCGGAUGCCUUGGCACUAGGAGCCGAUGAAGGACGUGAUAAGCUGCGAUAAGCUUCGGGGAGUUGCACGUAAACUUUGAUCCGAAGAUUUCCGAAUGAGGAAACUCACUUAGAGUAAUGUCUAAGUAUCAUUAAGUGAAUACAUAGCUUAAUGAGGGGAACUCAGGGAACUGAAACAUCUAAGUACCUGAAGGAAGAGAAAGAAAUUCGAUUCCGUAAGUAGCGGCGAGCGAACGCGGAUUAGCCCAAACCAAUAAAGUUUUCUUUANUUGGGGUUGCGGACAUAUCAUAACGAAGAGGUAUCGUAAUUGAAGAGGUUUGGAAAGACCCACCACAGAAGGUAAUAGUCCUGUAUGUUAAACGAGAAGACUUCAGAUAUGAUCCAGAGUACCACGGGACACGUGAAACCCUGUGGGAAGCAGGAGGGACCACCCUCCAAGGCUAAAUACUACCUAGUGACCGAUAGCGUAUAGUACCGUGAGGGAAAGGUGAAAAGAACCCCGGGAGGGGAGUGAAAUAGAACCUGAAACCCUGCACUUACAAGCUGUGGAAGCACAUUUCUUGUGUGACCGCGUACUUUUUGUAGAACGGGCCAACGAGUUACGUUAAGUAGCAAGGUUAAGCACUUAAGGUGCGGAGCCGUAGCGAAAGCGAGUUUUAACUGAGCGUUCAGUUACUUGACGUAGACCCGAAACCGGGCGACCUACCCAUGAGCAGGAUGAAGCGAAAGUAAAAUUUCGUGGAGGUCCGAACCCACGAGCGUUGAAAAGCUCGGGGAUGACUUGUGGGUAGCGGUGAAAUUCCAAUCGAGCCCGGAGAUAGCUGGUUCUCCCCGAAAUAGCUUUAGGGCUAGCCUCAAGGUGAGAGAUACGGAGGUAGAGCACUGAAUGUCCUAGGGGGUAUUGCACCUACCGAAGACUAUCAAACUCCGAAUGCCGUCAUCUUAUACUUGGGAGUCAGACUGUGGGUGAUAAGAUUCAUAGUCGAAAGGGCAACAGCCCAGAUCGUCAGCUAAGGUCCCUAAAUGUAAGUUAAGUGGUAAAGGAUGUGGGAUUGCACAGACAACCAGGAUGUUGGCUUAGAAGCAGCCACUCAUUCAAAGAGUGCGUAAUAGCUCACUGGUCGAGUGAUCCUGCGCCGAAGAUUUCCGGGGCUAAAACUUACUACCGAAGCUACGGCAUCAGUAAUGAUGGGUAGGGGAGCUUCCCAUACGGGUUGAAGCAUGACCGUAAGGACAUGUGGACAGUAUGGGAGUGAGAAUGUUGGCAUGAGUAGCGAGAUGUGGGUGAGAAUCCCACAGGCCGUAAACCCAAGGUUUCCAGGGGAAGGUUCGUCCGCCCUGGGUUAGUCGGGACCUAAGCUGAGGCCGAAAGGCGUAGGUGAUGGACAACAGGUUGAUAUUCCUGUACUACCGAUAACCGUUUGAGAGAAGGGAUGACACAGUAGGAUAAGCUAAGCACACUGUUGGUUAUGUGUGCCCAAGCAUUGAGGCAGUCAAAGCAGGCAAAUCCGCUUUGAUAAUGCUGGGAUGUGAUGGGGAGCGAAAUUUAGUAGCGAAGUAGCUGAUUUCACACUGUCAAGAAAAGUCUCUAUCGAGGUUAAAGGUACCCGUACCGCAAACCGACACAGGUGGGUGAGGAGAGUAUCCUAAGGCCAGCGAGAGAACUGUUGUUAAGGAACUCGGCAAAAUGACCCCGUAACUUAGGGAUAAGGGGUGCCACCAUCCGGUGGCCGCAGAGAAUAGGCCCAAGCGACUGUUUACCAAAAACAUAGGUUUCUGCUAAGUCGCAAGACGAUGUAUAGGAGCUGACGCCUGCCCGGUGCUGGAAGGUUAAGGGGAUCUGUUAGAGCAAUCGAAGCAGUGAACUUAAGCCCCAGUAAACGGCGGCCGUAACUAUAACGGUCCUAAGGUAGCGAAAUUCCUUGUCGGGUAAGUUCCGACCCGCACGAAAGGCGUAACGAUUUGGGCACUGUCUCAACAACAGACUCGGUGAAAUUGUAAUUCCGGUGAAGAUGCCGGAUACCUGCGACAGGACGGAAAGACCCCAUGGAGCUUUACUGUAGCUUGACAUUGGGUCUUGGUACUACAUGUACAGGAUAGGUGGGAGGCUUUGAAACCAGGACGCCAGUUUUGGCGGAGCCAUCCUUGGGAUACCACCCUUGUAGUACUGGGACUCUAACCAUAGGCCAUGAAUCUGGUCUUGGGACACUGUCAGGUGGGCAGUUUGACUGGGGCGGUCGCCUCCCAAAAGGUAACGGAGGCGCUCAAAGGUUCUCUCAGUACGGUCGGAAAUCGUACGUAGAGUGUAAAGGCAAAAGAGAGCUUGAUUGCAAGACAUACAGGUCGAGCAAGGAUGAAAAUCGGACUUAGUGAUCCGGUGGUUCUGCGUGGAAGGGCCAUCGCUCAACGGAUAAAAGCUACCCUGGGGAUAACAGGCUUAUCUCCCCCAAGAGUCCACAUCGACGGGGAGGUUUGGCACCUCGAUGUCGGCUCAUCACAUCCUGGGGCUGUAGUAGGUCCCAAGGGUUGGGCUGUUCGCCCAUUAAAGUGGUACGCGAGCUGGGUUCAGAACGUCGUGAGACAGUUCGGUCCCUAUCCGUCGCAGGCGUAGGAAAUUUGAGAAGACCUGUCCUUAGUACGAGAGGACCGGGAUGGACGUACCUCUGGUGUACCAGUUGUUCUGCCAAGGGCAUGGCUGGGUAGCUAUGUACGGAAUGGAUAAGCGCUGAAAGCAUCUAAGCGCGAAGCCAACUUCAAGAUAAGAUUUCCCACCGCAAGGGUAAGACCCCAGAAAGACUAUCUGGUUGAUAGGUCGAAGGUGUAAGUGCAGCAAUGUAUUUAGCUUAUCGAUACUAAUAGGUCGAGGACUUGACCAA
rnacentral:rRNA from 1 species